AAGAUUAGGGCUGGCUAAUGAUAAAUGAGAAGGCGCCGCUGACAGCUCCUCUCUCCGCGGCUGCCGCCCGGCAGCUCCGCGCUGCGCGCUCCGUGCGCACCUCCGCCCGCACCCGCGGCCGCCGCUUCGCUCCCCUCCGCCCAUCUCUUCUCAGUUUUAAUCUCUUUUUAUUAUUAUUAUUAUCAUUAUCAUCGUUAUUAUUGUUAUUAUCAUAUAUAUUUUUUAUUAUUAUUUUUUCUUAAUUUUUCACCUCCGCGUAGCGCGCAGAGCGCUUGGGGGGGGGGGCUCCAUUUUAACCCCCCCCACCUUCGCCCCAAAACCGCUUUCCUCGGGAUUACGCCGCAUCGAGGGACCGGAGCAGGGGGUAUUUUCCUUCUUUUUACCGGGAUUUGGGCUGGGGGGCUUGGGGGCUCAAUGCGGGGUCGGGAUGCGCUGCGGGCACAGCCUCCCCUCACCCCCACCACCCCCCCCCCCCGGAGGGAUGGGGAUGGCGAUGGGGGGGGAUGCGGGGCUGUUCGCCGCCCCCCCGCACCCCACCCGGGUGACCUUUCCCAUCAAAGCCCGCUCGUCCCCAGCAAGGUGCAUUGGGGCAGCGGGCGGUGGGGGGGGGAGGGGGGGGCGGAGGGGAGAGGGCGCCGCAGCCGGGCUCUCCCCCUCCCUCUGCUUUCCCCCUCCCUCCUCCCCUCCCUCGCUGCUCCCUCCUCUCUCUGCUGCAUUUUGCAUGAGCUAUCUAGGUCAUUAGCAUUUUAGCGUAUGCAAGACUUGACAAAGCUGAUGAGAAGCCAGAUGGGCCCCUCUCCUCUCUUUUUUUUUUUUUCCUGCCUUUUUUUUUCUUUUUCCUCUCUUUUUUUUUCCCUUUUUUUUUCUUUUUUUUUCCCCUUUUUUUUUUUCCUUUUUUUUUUUUUUUUUUUUUUUUUUGCACCACUUGGGAUCCGAGCGAAAAGGAUUUGACUGCAGCAGCAGCGCAGCAGCACAGCAGCACAGGCGGACGGGGGAAGGCUCCUCGCGCUCCUCCAGACCCCUUUUAGAGCAGCAGCAGCAGCAGCAGCGCAGCGCAGCGCAGCGGGGCUCAGGCUGCAGGGCAGCUCCUGGGGUCAGCGCUCCCCCUCCAGAUGGAAGGAGGUUGGGCAAAGCAAAGCCACUUUUUUAUUACCAUUUCCCCACUUUAACCCUUCCUUCUGAUUACCGCUAUUUUUCCGGUGGCUGUUUAUGCGCCUCUCCCCCGCCUCCCCCCCUACCCCCCCUUCCUUUAAUCCUUAUAAUUUAAAUCAAAAGUGUCGGGGAUGCAGAUGGGGGGAGCGCUGUGUCUGCAGGGCGAGGCCGGGCGUAAAUCUCUUGGAGGGAUAAACAUGUCAUUUGUUCCCUUUGUAUGGUAAUGCGUCCCCCCCACUCCCGCAGAUGCCCCCCCCCCCCCCUUCACCCCCCAGCAGCUGCCCCGGCCAUACAUCCUCCCUACAAAAGAUCCCAAUUACCCAUCGGCUGCCUCAUUAUACCCCUAACACAGAGGCGUGUGCGAGCGGCGGCGGAGGGGAGGGCUGGGGGAGAGGAGGGGGUGGCAGCACCUGAAUUAUUCAGAAAAUGCAAUAAAAUAAAAUGAAAUAAAAGAAAAUUCAAGAAACUGCAGAGGGGAGGGAGGUGGAGGGGGCCGCGACCCCGCGGCCUAACGCCGAGCGGUGCCCCCGCAGAGCCCCUGCAGCCCCGCGCUGCUCCACCACCACCCCACCUUCUUAUAUUCUUCCUCCUUUUUUAUCCCUUUUUUUCCCCCCUCCACCCUUUUUUUUCCUCCUCUUAUAGGCAGACAGGUGCCUGAUAGCCCAUCGCCUACCCUGCAUCCCGCUGGGGCCCUUCUCUCAUCCCUUCUCCUAUCCUCUUUCCCGUCCUUUUCUCCCAAGCUGUUUCUCCUACCCAUUUUCCCAUCCCCUUUCCCAUCUCUUCUCCAUUCCCUUUUCCUAUCCCUUCUCCUGAACCUUUCCCCCAUCUCUUUCUCCUAUCUUUUUCUCCAUCCUCUUUUCCCAUCCUUUUCCCUUCCUUUUCCCCAUCCCUUUUCUCAUCAUUCUCCCAUUCCUUCUCCCAUCCCUUCUCAUCUCUUUCCCCCAUUCCUUUAACCCAUUCCUUUUCCCAUCCUUCUCCCAUCCCUUUCCCAUCCCCUGUCCAAUUCCAUUUCCCGUCUCUUCUCCCCAUUCCUUUUUCCCAUCCCUUUUCCAUUCUCCUUCCAUUCCCUUCUUCCAUUUCCUCUCCCGCCCUUCUUCUUCCCAUCCUCUUUCCCAUCCCCUCUCUUUGCAGCUGGAGCCCAUCCACUGCCCUCGCCCACAGCUGGCCCAGUGUUCCCAGCAGGAGCCCAGCACUGGCCAAAGCCAACCCUUACUGGAGGUUCCUCUUUCUCACCCCAUGGCCUGGGGCCCCCAGAUCUCUUUGCAGCUCCGUGAGCAGACUCUUGCCUCUGGGAUGGGAGCAGAGAUGAUGGCUCGGGGUCCCUGGGACAGCUCCUUGCACCCCCCCAGGGGUGCUGCAGGUAUUUGGGGACAGACCUACCGGGUGCGCUGUGGAUGCCGCAAGGAUCCCAUCGGGUUGCGCCGUGCCAAUAAAGCUCUUCUUGCUGCGGGUUCCCGCAUCCUCUCCUUUGUUCA